AUUGAAUGCUGGCGGCAUGUUUAACACAUGCAAGUCGAACGGCAGCACAGUGUGUAGCAAUACACAUGGGUGGCGAGGGGCGGACGGGUGCGUAACGCGUAGGAAUCUGUCCUGAAGCGGGGGACAACCCGUGGAAACUCGGGCUACUACCGCAUUAUCUAGAGAGAGAAAAGCUGGGGAAACCUGACAACUCAGGAGGAUCCUGCGUCCGAUUAGGUAGUUGGCAGGGUAAAAGCCUACCAAGGGGAUGUUCGGUAGCUGGUCUGAGAGGAUGAUUAGCCACACUGGGACUGAGACACGGCCCAGACUCCUACGGGAGGCAGCAGUGGGGAAUAUUGGAGAAUGGGGGCAACCCUGAUCCAGCAAUGCCGCGUGUGUGAAGAAGGCCUUCUGGUUGUAAAGCACUUUAGUUGGGGAAGAAGAUGUGUAGUUUAAGAGAUGACACAUUUGACGGUACCCAAAGAAUAAGCACCGGCUAACUCUGUGCCAGCCGCCGCAGUAA
rnacentral:rRNA from 1 species